rnacentral:rRNA from 1 species
CAGCCGCCGCGGUAAUACGAGGGGGGCAAGCGUUGUUCGGAAUUAUUGGGCGUAAAGGGUGCGUAGGCGGCUUGACAAGUCUUGUGUGAAAUCUAUGGGCUCAACCCAUAGUCUGCACGGGAAACUGUCGGGCUUGAGAAUGGGAGAGGUGAGUGGAAUUUCCGGUGUAGCGGUGAAAUGCGUAGAUAUCGGAAGGAACACCUGUGGCGAAAGCGGCUCACUGGACCAUUUCUGACGCUGACGCACGAAAGCUAGGGGAGCAAACAGGAUUAGAUACCCCCGUAGUCCCUGUCUCUUAUAC